GUAGGUGGCAAGCGUUGUCCGGAAUUAUUGGGCGUAAAGCGCGCGCAGGCGGUUCUUUAAGUCUGAUGUGAAAGCCCACGGCUCAACCGUGGAGGGUCAUUGGAAACUGGAGAACUUGAGUACAGAAGAGGAAAGCGGAAUGCCACGUGUAGCGGUGAAAUGCGUAGAGAUGUGGAGGAACACCAGUGGCGAAGGCGGCUUUCUGGUCUGUAACUGACGCUGAGGCGCGAAAGCGUGGGGAGCAAACAGGAUUAGAUACCCUGGUAGUCCACGCCGUAAACGAUGAGUGCUAAGUGUUAGGGGGUUUCCGCCCCCCUUAGUGCUGCAGCUAACGCAUUAAGCACUCCGCCUGGGAGUACGGCCGCAAGGCUG
rnacentral:rRNA from 1 species